AAGCAACACUCUAUGACAGAUUACUGAAACUGAUACAAUUUGAGCCUGUUAUAGCAAGAAAGUGUAACCUAUUCCAGUGUUCUCUCUUCCAUGAGACAAGCUGUUAUAUAGGCUUAAGCAGU
rnacentral:snoRNA from 1 species